rnacentral:lncRNA from 1 species
CAUGUCACAUUUUUCUUUUCAGGUUGUGAUUGAUUAUGAUGACUUGGUGAAGAUUCCUUAUUUCAUGUCUGAAAUUGAAAGCCUUACAAAUGAGGCUAUGCAGUUGAGGUAUUCAAAUUUGUUUUUUGUUGAUUCAUACCAUUUAUUUUUAUAACUUGUUGAUACGCACCAAAUCAUGAAUGUAACCAAAAAAUACUUUACCAAAUCAUGAAACAAACGUUUCUUAAAUACAUUUAUACUUUUCUUCUUUUCCAUUUUUUUAAUGUGUUAUACCCAUGCCCCUUUAUUUGUUAUUGUGAAAUGUAGGGCGAGAGAAUUUUUAUUACUGUAUACUCUAAUAUAUAAGUUGGUUUUUGUUUUGUUAAAUUCUUGCUUCAGCUUCACUAAUUGUGAACUUAUAAUCAUAUGUAGCUAAAUCAUUUGGUUGUGGCAACAGUUGUAAUUGAGCUUGAGUAAUAAUCCUGUUGGAUAGGGGCACAUCUAACUGUACAAUGGUAUAGCUUGAAGAUAAUUUAAUAUGAACUAGAAGCAUGAUUGAAUGUCUCUAGAAAAAAAAAA